rnacentral:rRNA from 1 species
GAUGAACGCUAGCGGCAGGCCUAACACAUGCAAGUCGAGGGCAGCACGUCUUCGGAUGGUGGCGACCGGCGCACGGGUGCGUAACGCGUAUGCAACCUACCUCUUACAGUGGGAUAGCCCAGAGAAAUUUGGAUUAAUACCGCAUAGUAUACAGAUUCAGCAUUGGGACUGUAUUAAACAUUUAUGGGUAANAGAUGGGCAUGCGUUCUAUUAGUUAGUUGGAGUGGUAACGGCACCCCAAGACAGCGAUAGAUAGGGCCCGUGAGAGGGGAGUCCCCACCACUGGUACUGAGACACGGACCAGACUCCUACGGGAGGCAGCAGUGAGGAAUAUUGGACAAU